CCAAUAGCGUAUAUUAAAGUUGUUGCAGUUAAAAAGCUCGUAGUUGAAUUUCGGGGUUCAUCCGUUGGUCGGGCUUUUUUGGUCUGUACUGGCGUGAUGGAUUCCUACCUUCUGAAUAACCAGCAUGUCAUUAAUUUGGUGCGCUGGGGAAGCAGGACUGUUACCUUGAAAAAAUUAGAGUGCUUAAAGCAGGCUAUCGCCUGAAUACAUUAGCAUGGAAUAAUGAAAUAGGACGGCAUGGUUCUAUUUUGUUGGUUUCUAGGAACACCGUAAUGAUUAAUAGGGAUAGUUGGGGGCAUUAGUAUUCAAUUGUCAGAGGUGAAAUUCUUGGAUUUAUUGAAGACUAACUUCUGCGAAAGCAUUUGCCAAGGAUGUUUUCAUUAAUCAAGAACGAAAGUUAGGGGAUCGAAGACGAUCAGAUACCGUCGUAGUCUUAACCAUAAACUAUGCCGACUAGGGAUCGGACGAUGUUAAUUUUUUAAUGACUCGUUCGGCGCCUUACG
rnacentral:misc_RNA from 1 species